rnacentral:rRNA from 1 species
CACGGGGGGAGCAAGCGUUGUUCGGAAUUACUGGGCGUAAAGGGCGUGUAGGCGGAUGGAUAAGUCAGAUGUGAAAACCCAAAGCUCAACUCUGGGCCUGCAUUUGAUACUGUUCAUCUUGAGUAUGGGAGAGGAGAUCGGAAUUCCUGGUGUAGCGGUGAAAUGCGUAGAUAUCAGGAAGAACACCGGUGGCGAAGGCGGAUCUCUGGCCUAAUACUGACGCUGAGGCGCGAAAGCUGGGGGAG